UUUGUCAUUUUACUGUCAGUGAUACAUCAAAUAUCGUCGAUACAGAGCAAAUAUGAAAAUUACUGAAAUGAUGGACGCCCGUGUGGAUGAGAUAAAAGAACAAAUUGCUAAAUCGUUGCAAGAUUCAUCUACACCAUGGUCACCUGUAUUAAAAUAUCUCGAAGAAAAAACAGGAGUGGAUAGACUAUACAUCUUCUUUACUUCUUCAGUCUUAACAUCACUGUGGUUGGCAUUUGGCUUCGGAGCAGAAUUGGUAUGCAAUCUUGUCGGAUUUGUCUAUCCAGCCUAUGUUACAUUUCAAGCUAUUCAAUCCGAAAAUAGUAACGAUAACAUUAAAUGGGUAACCUACUGGAUUAUAUUUGCCCUGAUGUCCAUGAUCGAAGUUUUUGCCGAUCUGUUGAUAAAAUUGUUCCCACUCUAUUGGCUUACAAAAUGUUUGUUUUUAGUUUGGCUAAUGAUUUGUAUCGAAUUCAGUGACACAAUAAUUAUUUACAACAGUAUUAUUAAACCGACAUUCUUGAAAUUUAGUCCGAAUCGUAAGACGAAACUCACUAAAAUAGAAAAACACUAAUUUCAUACAAAACAAAAAUUUACAAUUGAGGCUGUAUAAACGAGGAAACUUAUGAUGUGAUUACAUUAAAAUUGAAUACUGGGUCGCACAAUAUUUUUAAUUUACAUGUAUUAUAUAAAUUGUAAUCUUAUUUCAUUUAUAAUAAUGUAUCAAUAAAUUUUGUGUAUUUGGAUUGAAA